UGAUCUGCUGUUUGAUCUAUGUGAAGGUUGGUGUUGCUAAGCCAGGUGAUGAGGAUGUCUGAGAGGAACAUGGCAAAUCCAUAUAGCUCUUUCAUCAGUCAGCAGUCCCUCUGGAUCUACCUGACCACCAGUCACACCACCAGACUAUCUGUUCCCUAGUAACACACUGUAACAGACUGUAGAGACAACAUGGACACAGCUCUGAUGUUUACUCUUAAGGUGCGACAGUCUCUGGCCAUGUCAGCAUCAGCAGGCAGGACCUUCUCACCACAGACACAGCCAACGGCACAGACACAGAUACAGAAACAGACACAACCACAGACACUAACACACCAGUCCUCCUCAGACUGUGCUCCAGAGUCUUCUCAUGAUGACGACAGCUCCACAGAGAGCAGUGAGGAUGUCUGUCUGCCAGGACCUCUAAGCCUGGAGCUGUCGAAACUGGAACUAGACAACCAGGACGCACCCCAGCAGGACAGGGAGGCUGGUUGUGAAUAUAACAGUACUGGAGCCCCUGGGAUAGAGGGAGAUCUAGCUGUUAGUACUGGAGGUCCAGGAGGGCCAGCAGAGUCUGGUUUUGAUGUCUCCCCCCCUGACCCUCUAGACCUAGACCAGAUUGUCUGUCCCGCGGGUCUAAUCAGUGAGCCAGGCAGUGUCACAUCACCAUCGUCUGAUGAUGCCAAUAACAAUGGAUUGGAUUUACACAGCAGUUCUCCAGGAGCAGCUGAGGACCACUGCCUAGCCUCCAAUGUUCCUUCUCCUAGGAUAGAGGGAGAUGUGGAUGUUCUUGCUCCUAGGAUAGAGGAAAACCUGGAAGUUGAGGACAGUAACAGACGUGUAGAAUCAGGAUAUACCCUGGAUGCUAACCUCUCUGGUCAGCUACAGGACAUGGAGCUGGGGCAUACCUCACCCAGGCAGACAGAGACAGACAUGGAACUGGGCAAUACCUCACCCAGGCAGACAGAGACAGACAUGGAGCUGGGGCAUACCUCACCCAGGCAGACGGAGACAGACAGGGAGCUAGAGGAGGAGUCACCCAGGUGGACAGAGGCAGACAGCCAGCCUGAGGACUACUCAGAGGGACCUGUGGAGAACAGACAAGUCCCUACUGAUCUGGAACACACAGAAGACAACCAUGUCUCCGUCCCUCUAGUCCCAACAGAGAAUGGACAUAUCCCUACCCUUCUGGUCCAAUCAGAGACAGAGGUCAGCCACGUCACUAUCUCUGUGGUCCAAUCAGAGGCUUUUAGCUCCAUCCCUUCUCUAGUGGUCAGUGUAGACAACAACAUGGAUCCCUUCACACAUCCCUCCCUUACCCUGGCCCUAUUUGAGGGCCCCUUGGCAGGGCUAGGCCUCUGCGAUCACCCCUGCAUCAUCAAACACAAACCUAGCUCCAUCACCUUCUCAGACUUCACCUGUAGUCCCUCCACCUGCCACUCUAGCACCGGUCACAGCGUCUUCAUCAAAAACAGCUCUGACUGCAGGGAGCCUUCCUCAGAGAAGGAUGAUGAAGGUGAUGAUGAAGAUGGGGAUGAUGAGGACACAUUCCCAGAGCUGCUUCAGAGCAGGGAGUUCCUGGUCAGUCGGAGGAGAAGGAGCAGCAGCAGAGACAAAGUAGUUAAGGAGAGAGGAUCUAUGAGUCCCCAGGCGGAGGCACCAGUCAGCUCUACAACCAACUCUACAGCCAGCUCCCACCUCUCCUCCUCCUCCAAAAACCAGAACCACAGCGGCUGCGAGGCAGAGACUGAGACCAGCAGCACAGAGGAGUCUCCCCUGGUCCAGCCUCAGACCCCAUGGUGUGAGUCUAUGAGCCAGCUGAUGAGGAAACUGGACCAGCUCAACCUGGACAUAGAGGAGGCUCUGAGUGCAUCAUCCUCCCCCUCGGACACACCCUGCACCGCACGCAGACAACAGUAUGGAGCUGUGUCUGGGACGGCAGUAAACCAAUCUCUUAACGAGGAGGACAGUACACUGCUGCAGCGAGGGGAACCAGAUACAGAAGAAUGUCUCAGACAGAAUCAACACAAGACCUUGGCCUCUAGUAGCUCAGCCGAAGGAACCAGAGCCAGGACCAAGAAGACAGUCAUGUGCAGUAAGAUGACCAAUGCAGGUGCAGGUAAGGCUUUUUCAUGUGUACAUGUUUCACCAGGCUGUGUUGGAUUUGGCAUGUGCCCUAACUAGAACCACAUUCCCUACAUAUUGCUCUGUUCAAAAGUAGCGCACUAUAUGAGGGAAUACUAUAUGAGGGAAAAUAAUUUAAAAAAUACAGUGCCAUUUGGGACAUAGCCACUGUUAUUAGAUUGUCUUCAGAUGGUUCUCGCUGCAGGACAGUUUUAAUUCUCAGCACUGACACUCUUCUCUGUUAGUCCAGGAUCUGCACUGUUAGUCCAGGGUGUGCUCUGUUAGUCCAGGGUGUGCUCUGUUAGUCCAGGGUAUUCUCUGUUAGCCAGGGUCUGCUCUGUUAGUCCAGGGUAUGCUCUGUUAGUCCAGUGUAUGCUUUGUCAGUCCAGGGUAUGCUCUGUUAGUCCAGGGUAUUCUCUGUUAGCCAGGGUCUGCUCUGUUAGUCCAGGGUCUGCUCUGUUAGUCCAGGGACUUCUCUGUUAGUCCAGGGUAUGCUCUGUUAGUCCAGGGUAUGCUAUGUUAGUCCAGGGUCUUCUCUUUUANNNNNNNNNNCUUGUUAUAAUAAGGACUUGAGCCAUGCUGCUGGUCCUAUUGACUCUACUGUCAGGCUGCUGCUUUGAUCAACUCUACAGAGUACUGACUGACUGGUUAACCAUGGAGGAGUCCUCCUCCUCAUGAUUACACCCCAACAUGUCAUCCUCACAUCAGAUCAGGCUAUACCCUAGUAUAUUCAUUUGCAGCGAAUAGUUGUGAGUUGUCUAAUGGAUGCUAACUGUUUUGUUUAUAUGUGAUUUACAAUAGAGUCCUACACCAUUAAUAUGAACUUGGCUGAAGCUGAGUGUAGUCAAUUGAUGUUGCCACAGGGACCAUUCCUAGAACAGUAAGGAACACUAGAUCAGGAACAUUAGAAAACUUGGGAACACUAUUAGAGAUAAUGUGGAAUAAUAUUAAUUCAUAAUAAUAAUUCAUCUUGGUGUAAAACAAGGUAUGUACUAGCCCAGUCGGUAUAUACAGUAUUCUAAAUCACUAUUCUGGGUCCUGGGUCCAGAUGACUCCAGUGCCUGUUAUAUAACUCCAGGCCAGGCUGGUGAUAAUCAUCCAGAAGAUGUGUCUUUUAUUUUUGUUUGACUCAUCUCUGUCCCACCAGAGGCACAUCACAUUGCUCCCAGCUGCCUUCUCAAACCGNNNNNNNNNNGGUGUGCCAGCCAGGGUCCAGGUUUCACUCCCCAGCUGUGUCUAGAGAAUGUCCAGAGAAUGUCCCUCCCAACACAGCCUGUCAGGCUCUUCUUUUAAAGGCCUAUUUAUACUGACUGCCUGGCUUGGUGGGACACAGAUAAAAUUAGGAGGCAUGCCAGAUCAUUGUUACUAGUACUACAUAGUUACUGCUGAGGGAACUAUUUGUCGUGUCUUGGCCCUGGGGGCAGCUGGGGGAUUAUGGGGCGAUGCCAUUUUAGUCUCAGGUUCCACUCUCACAUGAUCUCUAUGAUCAGGAGGGGUAAUGGGGAGUACCAGGGGGUAUGUCAGUAAUGUACAGGAGACCCUGUUCACAUUCCAUCACUCUCACCUAUAGGUAGGAAUGUCUGCUGUGUGGUCUGGCUGUGAUUUAUGAAGUGCUCUGUGACUGAUCACCACUCAUACCAGGGUAAUCUAGAGUGACGUAUCACUGCUAAUGGUUGUAAAUCUAUGGGCUUUGUGUGGUAUUUACCUUGUUGAUGACUUCAGUAAUUAUUUGUCAACACAACCAAGACAUUUCCUUCCCUAUGGUCCUGUUGAUGUCAUAUUUGAGUACAGUGUGUUUCUACCAUCUCUGCUUUAAUAGAGUACAAUAUAUUUAGCCACAAGACUCUCGACAUGCCGUCUCCCUUUCACAACCAUAUGCUGGCUGAAAUAAGACAGACAAAAGUCUGUGUCAAAGUCAAUCUGAUGUGGCCAGAAUCACCUACAAUAAGAGAAGCGUAGUUAACGGAACAUCUGUCUUCAAUAGAAACACAGCAUAUGUCCGAAAUGGCACCCUACUCCUUAUAUAGUGCACUACUUUUGACCAUAGCACAUAUGGGACACUGGUGAACAGUAGUGCACAAUACAGGGAAUGGGGUGCGAUUUGAGACGCCGACACAGUCAGGGUAAUAACUGUGAGUAGGAUGAUGAUGAUGACGUAAAGAGAUGAAGCUAACUCUGAGCGCUGAUAUUCUCUGCCUAUAUUUGACAGCCGUACCGUAGAGACUGUAUAGACUGCAUGAUGUCAUGUUACUGGAUCAGAUGGUCUUCAGAAUCUAUGGUUAUGUCCCAAAUGGCACCCUUUCCCCUAUAUAGUCCACUAAUGUUGACCAGAGCCACAUGGACAUUGGUCAAAAAUAGUGCACUAUAAAGGGAAAAUGGUGCCAUUUGGAACACAGACUAUAACAUAGCACCAGUCAUCAUAACCACCAGUUCACCUCACUAUAGUGACAUAGUUCAGCCGAGAAAACCUCUCUGGGCCCAUAUCCCAAAAAGCCCCGCGUGUGACUAAACACACCACGUACAUAUAUACCCAAACCACAUUUGAGCACUGCCUAGGGUAGAGGUUAGGGUGGUCAGAUCUCUGGGUAGAGGUGAGGAGAAACAUAAGUCAGACGGAGGCUUAAAUUCUCGUCUCUCUGAACCAUGGGCUGUGUGACCUGAAUGUAUUAUAUGUGUAGUCUCCUGACCAUAGCUUAUGGCCUUUAAAAUCUAUACUGAUGUAUAUCUGUUGCUGUGUUCUCAUGUUGAGCGGAAACUCCAAGCAUAUAUGGGAAAACGCCAUACCUUUCUGUCCAACAAUAAUGUUUUUAAACCCCAGACCUUUCUGCCCAACUAAAAGGUUUUUAAACCCCAGACCUUUCUGCCCAACAANNNNNNNNNNNNNNNNNNNNNNNNNNNNNNNNNNNNNNNNNNNNNNNNNNNNNNNNCCAGGUUUCACUCCCCAGCUGUGUCUAGAGAAUGUCCAGAGAAUGUCCCUCCCAACACAGCCUGUCAGGCUCUUCUUUUAAAGGCCUAUUUAUACUGACUGCCUGGCUUGGUGGGACACAGAUAAAAUUAGGAGGCAUGCCAGAUCAUUGUUACUAGUACUACAUAGUUACUGCUGAGGGAACUAUUUGUCGUGUCUUGGCCCUGGGGGCAGCUGGGGGAUUAUGGGGCGAUGCCAUUUUAGUC
rnacentral:lncRNA from 13 species